rnacentral:rRNA from 1 species
AACCCGCCUGCAUGAAGUUGGAAUCGCUAGUAAUCGCGGAUCAGCAUGCCGCGGUGAAUACGUUCCCGGGCCUUGUACACACCGCCCGUCACACCAUGAGAGUCGGGAACACCCGAAGUCCGUAGCCUGACCGGAAAGGGGGGCGCGGCCGAAGGUGGGUUCGAUAAUUGGGGUGAAGUCGUAACAAGGUAUC